AGCAAUUCCCAUCCCCCACCCCUAACUGACUUUUCAACUCCAGCCACAGUCACUUCAACUGUCACGUUUCUGUCAUGAAGCUUGCUGUAUGUAAGCUGUACAAACUCUGCCGUCAUCAUCAUAUUCAAGGCGGUGUGUUGUGUGGAGGACUGCUGCCCUGAGACCGCUGGGUUUAUUCUGGAAUAUUGUCACUUCCAAAGCCCAUUACAAGCCUGCAAUGGGCUCUAUGAACUGUCCAGAGCAAAGUCAGUCUGUCCUGAUGGCACUACCUGCUACUAUGGCUGCUGCUCUCAACCUGGUGGGGCAAGUCUUAAGAGUUGCAGACGGGGGAGCAAAGGGAGUUCCUGGACCCUUAAAGGGUUAAGGCCAUAAUGGGCCACCCAGAAGAGAUUCAGGCACUCCCUCAAGAUUGCUGGGCCAUGCAAUUAAUGCCAAACUUACAGAACUGUGAUGUCAGUACAGAAACAAAAAUAGCAAUUUUUAAAUAAAUUCAACAAAAGAAAACAG